AAUCAACGCUGGCGGCGUGCUUAACACAUGCAAGUCGAACGGUAAGGCCCUUCGGGGUACACGAGUGGCGAACGGGUGAGUAACACGUGGGUGAUCUGCCCUGCACUUCGGGAUAAGCCUGGGAAACUGGGUCUAAUACCGGAUAGGAUCACUGCCUGCAUGGGUGGUGGUGGAAAGCUUUUGCGGUGUGGGGUGGGCCCGCGGCCUAUCAGCUUGUUGGUGGGGUGAUGGCCUACCAAGGCGACGACGGGUAGCCGGCCUGAGAGGGUGAACGGGCACACUGGGACUGGGAUACGGCUCAUACUCCUGCGGGAGGCAGCGGUGGGGAAUAUUGCACAAUGGGCGCAAGCCUGAUGCAGCGACGCCGCGUGAGGGAUGACGGUCUUCGGGUUGUAAACCUCUUCCAGCACCGACGAAGCGCAAGUGACGGUAGGUGCAUAAGAAUGACCGGCCAACUACGUGCCAGCCGCCGCCGUAAUAC
rnacentral:rRNA from 1 species